rnacentral:lncRNA from 1 species
UCGUAUGGUCAUACUCAGUACUAGUUGUUCUCUGACAACUACCAGCACUCAUCGCUCAGUAUCUCUACACUGUAGACCAGAGACUCAUCUACGUCGAAGGAAGUGAUCUAUGCGUCGGUCUAUCCGGAUCGAUCAUCAUCCUCAUGAUAAUACUAUUAUCGAGAGCACUUAGAAAUUAAAUACAUGUCUCUAAUUCUCAACACCUUGAGAAUAUAUAUCAAAAUAUUAAUUUCAUAGACGAUUCAAGGAUAUAUCACACUUAAAUAAAAAAUAAACUUGUCUUUUUAUUGAU